GACGAACGCUGGCGGCGUGCUUAACACAUGCAAGUCGAACGGAAAGGCCCUGCUUUUGUGGGGUGCUCGAGUGGCGAACGGGUGAGUAACACGUGAGUAACCUGCCCUUGACUUUGGGAUAACUUCAGGAAACUGGGGCUAAUACCGGAUAGGAGCUCCUGCUGCAUGGUGGGGGUUGGAAAGUUUCGGCGGUUGGGGAUGGACUCGCGGCUUAUCAGCUUGUUGGUGGGGUAGUGGCUUACCAAGGCUUUGACGGGUAGCCGGCCUGAGAGGGUGACCGGCCACAUUGGGAUUGAGAUAAGGCCCAGACUCCUACGGGAGGCAGCAGUGGGGAAUAUUGCACAAUGGGCGGAAGCCUGAUGCAGCAACGCCGCGUGCGGGAUGACGGGCUUCGGGUUGUAAACCGCUUUCGCCUGUGACGAAGCGUGAGUGACGGUAAUGGGUAAAGAAGCACCGGCUAACUACGUG
rnacentral:rRNA from 1 species